GACGAACGCUGGCGGCGUGCUUAACACAUGCAAGUCGAGCGGAAAGGCCCUUCGGGGUACUCGAGCGGCGAACGGGUGAGUAACACGUGAGUAACCUGCCCCAGACUUUGGGAUAACCCUCGGAAACGGGGGCUAAUACCGGAUACGACACAGCUUCGCAUGGGGUCUGUGUGGAAAGUUUUUCGGUUUGGGAUGGGCUCGCGGCCUAUCAGCUUGUUGGUGGGGUGAUGGCCUACCAAGGCGACGACGGGUAGCCGGCCUGAGAGGGCGACCGGCCACACUGGGACUGAGACACGGCCCAGACUCCUACGGGAGGCAGCAGUGGGGAAUAUUGCACAAUGGGCGGAAGCCUGAUGCAGCGACGCCGCGUGAGGGAUGACGGCCUUCGAGUUGUAAACCUCUUUCAGCAGGGACGAAGCGUAAGUGACGGUACCUGCAGAAGAAGCGCCGGCCAACUACGUG
rnacentral:rRNA from 1 species